AUGACAACUGCAAGAAACUGGCUGAUUGUGUCAGAUUUAAAUGCAGAAAACAGAGAAAAAUGAAUUUGUUAACUUGCUCUCCAGAGUAGCGACUGAAGUUGGAUGAUAACCCAGGCUCCCAAAAUGUUGGGCCACUGUCCACUUAAGAGGAAAACAUUGACUUUGUAAUUGAGAGGUCCUCAGAAGAUGCAAUCGGCCAUAAGGAACCAGAAUCCUUUGGUUUCAGGUCCCAAGCUAUACUCAGCACAUGCAUUCAGAUCUUGUCCACUGAAACCUAAAAGAGGAGAGGAGAGGAACACAAAGUAAAAGAAGACUAUUAGUUCUUUUUGUUUUAUGAUUCAGCUGUCUGGAAAUUAAGAUAUAUACACAAGACAGGGAGUGGAAAAUCACUGGCUAUGUCAUUGCUUUAUAAUCUUCUUAUUUACUCCAUG
ensembl:lncRNA